AUCCAGCUGACGUGUUUCAAAUAGAACGAAACGCACGUCCUGGAU
rfam:Schistosoma haematobium scaffold1916_3, whole genome shotgun sequence.